rnacentral:snRNA from 1 species
ACACUAACUUUGUCAGCCUGUAUACUAAAAUUGGAACAAUACUGAGAAUUAUCAGCAUUUCCUGAACAAGGGUGAUACACAAAUUUAUGAAGCAUUCCAUAUUUUU